rnacentral:rRNA from 1 species
GUCCAGACUCCUACGGGAGGCAGCAGUGGGGGAUAUUGCACAAUGGGGGAAACCCUGAUGCAGCGACGCCGCGUGGGUGAAGAAGCGCCUCGGCGCGUAAAGCCCUGUCAGCAGGGAAGAAAAUGACGGUACCUGAAGAAGAAGCCCCGGCUAACUACGUGCCAGCAGCCGCGGUAAUACGUAGGGGGCAAGCGUUAUCCGGAUUUACUGGGUGUAAAGGGAGCGUAGACGGAUGGAUAAGUCUGAAGUGAAAGCCCGCGGCUCAACUGCGGGACUGCUUUGGAAACUGUGCAUCUUGAGUACGGGAGGGGCAGGCGGAAUUCCUGGUGUAGCGGUGAAAUGCGUAGAUAUCAGGAGGAACACCGGCGGCGAAGGCGGCCUGCUGGACCGAAACUGACGUUGAGGCUCGAAAGCGUGGGGAGCAAACAGGAUUAGAUACCCGGGUA